rnacentral:rRNA from 1 species
UCAAGAAACUUCCGCAAUGGGCGAAAGCCUGAUGGAGCGACGUCGCGUGAUGGACGAAGUGCUUCGGCACGUAAACAUCUUUUAUGUGGGAUGAAAUUAUUGACAGUACCACAUGAAUAAGGGGCUCCUAACUCUGUGCCAGCAGGAGCGGUAAUACAGAGGCCCCAAGCGUUAUCCGGAAUCACUGGGCGUAAAGGGUGUCGAGGCGGUUGUAUUAGUCGUUCGUAAAAUCUACGAGCUUAACUUGUAGGCGGCGAACGAAACGGUACGACUUGAGGUUUGGAGAGGUGCGUGGAACUCACGGUGUAGGGGUGAAAUCCGUUGAUAUCGUGGGGAACACCAAAGGCGAAGGCAGCGCACUGGCCAAAAUCUGACGCUCACACACGAAAGCUAGGGUAGCGAAGAGGAUUAGAUACCCCAGUAGUCCCUGAGCGGGCUGGCAAGGCGCAU